rnacentral:sRNA from 1 species
UUCGCCUGUCGUUUAUGAGGAUGAGUACCUCCCUGGGGGUUCGAGCCUCGCGUAGCGAGACAACGUUGCUUCAGCAACGGCCCGCAGGGCGCGCAUCAAGGAUGCGCGUAAUCCUCUCUCGCCGACCA